rnacentral:lncRNA from 1 species
UGGAUGGCUGCACCUUAGGCCACCGGCUCCUCCCGCUGCUUCCUCUAUGACUUUAAGUGUGGGCUUCUCAAGUAGGCACUCCCCACCCCCACCCCCGGCUCAGACCCUUCAACUUUACCUAGGCUAUUCUUCAAGUCUCAGAUUGGACAUCGUCCACCUCUGAGGGACUUUCCCUGACCCGCUCAGCUCUGUCAUCAUCCGAGUCACCACCACCUGGCCUAGAGCAGGAGUCUGUGACUGAUUUGUCUCAGAGCAGUCAGUACAGUUUGAGGGGAAAACUGAGUGAGAAAGUGAACGAGAACCAAGCUUCCUGAGGGACGGGAUGGGUUUGGCCCACCACCCUACUCUGCAGCCCUUCAUCCUCUCACAGAAAGGACACUCAACCUAAGGACACUCGCUCUAGGAGUGCCACCAUGUGCCACAGGCUGCCAGAAACCAGGUGCUACCUACUGACGUGCUGCUACCACAGCCUCCACAGCCUACCCUUCCCAGGGAGCACAGCCAUUCAGAGGAGUGGAAAAUGGGUUCCCAACACAGAGAUGGAAAUCAGAGAGGAAAGAAGACAACUGGGGCUUCUCAACAAUUUCUGAAACAACUUUCCCAGCACUACCGUGCCAGCCUGUGGCUCUGGACCAGAGUUCUGCCUGAUCCUAGAGAGGGCCCGUCCUGGUGG